ACGUAGGGUCCAAGCGUUAAUCGGAAUGACUGGGCGUAAAGCGUGCGCAGGCGGUUGGGCAAGACCGAUGUGAAAUCCCCGGGCUUAACCUGGGAAUUGCAUUGGUGACUGCACGGCUAGAGUGUGUCAGAGGGGGGUAGAAUUACACGUGUGGCAGGGAAAUGCGUAGACAUGUGGAGGAAUGCCGGUGGUGAUGGCAGGUACGUGGGAUAAGACUGACGCUCAUUCGGAUAAGCGUGAGGAGCAAUCCG
rnacentral:rRNA from 1 species